UACGGAGGGUGCAAGCGUUAAUCGGAAUUACUGGGCGUAAAGCGCACGCAGGUGGUCAAUUAAGUCAGAUGUGAAAGCUCCGAGCUUAACCUGGGAAUUGCAUCUGAAACUGGUUGACUAGAGUAUUGUUGAGGGGGGUAGAAUUCCAUGUGUAGCGGUGAAAUGCGUAGAGAUGAGGAAGAAUACCGGUGGCGAAGGCGGCCCCCUGGACAAAGACUGACGCUCAGGUGCGAAAGCGUGGGGAGCAAACAGG
rnacentral:rRNA from 1 species